CGCUGGCGGUGCGCCUUAUGCAUGCAAGUCGAGCGAAGCUUUUCAGUAGUUUACUACAGAAAAUGACUGAGCGGCGAACGGGUGAGUAACGCGUGAGCAAUCUACCUUAGUUACUGGGAUAGCCCGAGGAAACUCGGAUUAAUACCGGAUAAUCUUAUUACAUCACAUGAUAUUUUAAGUAAAGGUCAGCCGAACUAAGAUGAGCUCGCGUUCUAUCAGCUUGUUGGUGGGGUAAAAGCCUACCAAGGCUACGACGGAUAGCUGGUCUGAGAGGACGAUCAGCCACACUGGGACUGAGACACGGCCCAGACUCCUACGGGAGGCUGCAGCAGGGAAUAUUGCGCAAUGAGCGAAAGCUUGACGCAGCGACACCGCGUGUGGGAUGACGGUUCUAGGAUUGUAAACCACUUUCAGGAGGGAAGAAAAUGACGGUACCUCCACAAGAAGCCCCGGCCAACUACGUGCCAGCAGCCGCGGUAAUACGUAGGGGGCGAGCGUUGUCCGGAUUUAUUGGGCGUAAAGAGCUCGUAGGCGGUUCAACAAGUCGGUCGUGAAAGUUCAGGGCUUAACCCUGAAAUGUCGAUCGAUACUGUUGUGACUAGGAUAUGGUAGAGGUGAGUGGAAUUCCGAGUGUAGCGGUGAAAUGCGUAGAUAUUCGGAGGAACACCAAUAGCGAAGGCAGCUCACUGGACCACUAUCGACGCUGAGGAGCGAAAGCUAGGGGAGCAAACAGGAUUAGAUACCCUGGUAGUCCUAGCUGUAAACGAUGGAUACUAGAUGUAGGAAUUGGAUUGACGAUUUCUGUAUCGUAGCUAACGCGUUAAGUAUCCCGCCUGGGGAGUACGG
rnacentral:rRNA from 1 species